UGAAACUUAUGCUAAUAGUUUAUUUGAAGGUUAAGAGGUUGAAUUCUUUUGAUCAAUAGGUUAAAUUUUAUUAGUUUAAAAUUUUGGAAAAAAAUUACAAGAAGUGCCCAUUUCUCUUAUGUUAUUAAAAGAAAAAGCUGUGCCCUGUCUUGUAAUUUUUACAAUUUUCUAAUAGUCAGACUUUUAUUCCCCUCCCCUCUCGGUCAGACGCACAGAAGGAUGAAAAAAAAGUUUCGAGAUCCUUCGACUCAAGCUACACCGGUGCCAGCUCCCUCUGUUCCUCUUCGAUUUUUCCGGCGAGUUCUCGUCGUUUUGCCUCCAGUCAAGUCUUCCCCAUUUUCUUUCCUCUUCUUUUCUUCUCUUUUUCGGCGGUGCACACGCGUUCUGGACCAGAGGAAGAGAGUUGGAAAUUUUUUUUCUUGAUUCCAGUAGCUUCGAACUUCAGAUCCGAAAUAUCCUUCCUAUCAUCUUCCUCUCCGUGGUCUUAUCCUUUAGCUAGUGAUAAUAGCGUGCUUGUCGUCGCCUAGUCAUCUUCCUCGUUCGAUGAUCUGCCUCCUUCACUCGCGGCUGCGUCAUUGCUGGUGGGUGGGAGCUGAUUCAUGGAAGCCGAAAAAACUGGACGGAGCUGCUACUGAUGCUUCUUUUUAUUCUUGGUUUGAUUUUGCUGGCUCUGUUCUUCUUUUUCACAUGAUGCAUCAGAUUUUCCCUCCCCUGUUCAGCUUAAGAUAACGUAGCGGACUGUGUACCUCCAUUAGAUCCUUAAAGACAUUUUGCUUCUGGACUGAAGUUGAGACACCAUUUUGGUUAAUUUCUAUUUUGAUGUAAAUUUAUAAUUCAUAUAUUGUAUUUUUACAAAUAAUGUUUUAGGUGCUCCACAUAGAUUAUAGUUAGAGUCCUGAUUCUA